UACGAAGGGGGCUAGCGUUGCUCGGAAUUACUGGGCGUAAAGAGCGUGUAGGCGGCCAGGUAGGUCCGUUGUGAAAACUCGAGGCUCAACCUCGAGACGCCGAUGGAAACCAUCUGGCUAGAGUCCGGAAGAGGAGAGUGGAAUUCCCGGUGUAGCGGUGAAAUGCGCAGAUAUCGGGAAGAACACCCGUGGCUAAGGCGGCUCUCUAGUACGGUACUGACGCUGAGACGCGAAAGCGUGGGGAGCGAACAGU
rnacentral:rRNA from 1 species